CGUUGAAACACAGAUUCCCAUACGAUCACCAUAGUUAAACAAUGUUGAGCCUGGUCAGUACCUAGAUGGUGACCAUUUGGAAAUGCCAGGUACUGUAAG